rnacentral:lncRNA from 1 species
GCCCGCCACACACAUUUUAAGUUUUUCUCGCGAGCGUGAGCUCAAAUCGGAGCUCCGAUUGGAUCAAUGCAGCUCGGAUUGGAUCAAAGAUGGUGACGGGCGCUCAGAGCGAUCGAGAUCGCGAGAUAGAUCCCAAGCGUGGAAUUUAUGAUAGUAAAGUGAAUGUGUGGUGGAAAGUAUGAGCGCUCUCUUUAUAAAAAAUUAGGGUUCUUGGUGGGCGAAGAAUGCAGCCUCCACUUGUUCUCCAGCAGCAUCCACACUGCGCCAAGGUAGGCAAUCGCGCGCGUAGGUUUCUCCUUACGCGUCGCCUCUCAGAUCAUCACCUCCCUCUUGCGCUGCCACAAGGAGCAUGCCGCGGCCGCCAAUUUUUUGGGGAAAUGCAAAGGUCUCAAGCGUGAGGUGGCGCGCUGCUUGGAAGAGGAGGUAUGUUUUUCUGCCAGGAUUGACGCACGGCUUUUGGAUUUCUCAAGGUUUUGCUGCUUGAAUUCGAUAGAGAGCGAUGAAGGAGAAGAGCACGCAAAGUUGCUCGCGGACAAAGUAGAGAAUUUCAUGAUUGCUCCAUGUAAUCUCCCGUGGAGGAUUGGAGCGAGGAGUCCCUGUUUGGAUCAAAGAUGGUGACAAGCGCUCAUAGCGAUCGAGAGCGCGAGAUUUU